GAGUUCAUUGAUCGUAAAGUUCAUACGAUCGGCUACGAUCAACGAUUAAUCGUAAGUUUACAUUGGUAUUGUCUAAUUUAGUUCAUUAUAUGAAGACCGGAUGGUGAACGAUGAACUGAAAUCAUUCAUGAAGAUUGCGUAUUGUUUAUGCAAAACGAUAGUGAAACUAUCGUUAAUAAUAUUAUCAAAUUUAAGUCAAACUCCAUAAUAAUGCAUAUAUUUUAACAAAGUUUUAUGUCUUUUGUUUAAAACAUUAAAGAAGCAUUAAAUUUCACGAAAAAUAUCUACUAUUGAAGAAAAUAGCGUGAGAAAAUGGUACAUGCAUCUCGAGUAACAAAACGCAAUUAACGAAUUUAACCAAGGGCUAUUUGGACUAUUUGGUAAUCUCCCUGUUGUCUGUGUAGGCUAGUGUCAAAAUAACGGGUUAUCCUAUUAGUCUGUGGUGAAACAUAGCAUAUUAAUAACCUGUGGAUUAGAAAUUAUAAUUUAACAUAACAAAACAAAAUUUUCAUUUUUCAGAUUUUAAAGAGAAUUUAGAAAUUGAGCAAAGUUUUACUAAAUUAUAGUGAUCUUAGGAGCAAAGUUUACUUCGUUAUUGUUAUUUGAUAAAAGAAAACUACCUCUAUCUAAUUUUGUCGAUGUACAUUUCUUAAGAAGUUUCUCAUUAAAACAACGCUUAACUCAGGCAAGGCAGGGCUAUGGUGGUUAGCGUAACUACAAGUGGUUAACUUACAGUUAGCCAACUGAAGAACAAUCAACAAUGCCCGAUUAAUAAGUGAUCGCGCUGCUUGUCUACUACAUGUCCCUGCACUAGUUAUAGCAGUAAUUUCUUUGUUGGGAAGUAUUUAGCACAUCCGGGCUGCGCAAAAGGAGAGGACUAAAUUGAUUAUUAUGAACAGACCAUUAUGAUGAACCACUGAUAUUGACUCGGAGACAUGAAGAUGAGUGCUUUGACAACAAGACUGACUAGCUGAGCCAGCUUAAGAAUUAUGUGGUGUGUGUGUGUGUGUCUAAUUCCAGGAGCUCUCUAUGUCAGCCAUCCAUCUAUAUUCUUACUCAUUUUUGUUAAUUAUAAAAUAAAUUUGAUUAUUUA